rnacentral:tRNA from 1 species
GCGGCGGUGGUGUAAUGGCGUAGAGCAUUCCCGCCCGGUCAGAGGGAGGUGUGGGUUCGAGUCCCGCCUGGCGCU